CGAGCCGCCGCCGCGGCGCCCCCGCCGCCCACCCGGCCGCCCGCGCCGCCGCCCUACCUGGCGAAGCAGUACUCGCAGUGGUUGCCCCGCUCGUUGACCGUGAGCACAUGGGUGUUACAUGUACAUGAAAGAAUUUUUUCCAAACCUUAGGAGUUUCUGAUUACGUGCCUUCUUAGGCAAAUCUUGGAUAAGUUUUUGGGCCCUCCAGUUUUUUUUAACAUUCUGAUCCUGUGGGGCUCCCGCCAACACAAAGAUGAAAAAGGCUGGCAUAAAAAUUUCCAAUGACCGAGAAAAACAAUAGCCUGGCUACUGAGCUGUCUUUCCAGGUGAGCAGUGGCUAGAACAGACUUAUUCUUGUGGGUGAAGGUGACUGUGAUUUAGGAACACUGGAAAAGAAACCGCCUCACUUCAGAAAAAUGCUUGUGCUGAACUCAAGUGACUCAAGAUGGGGAAAUGGUCAGUUAAGCAAUGGUCAUGAAUUUAGGAGCUUAAAUUACGAGGAAAACUGUGUUUAAAUAAACGGCCAAGCAAUGGCAACAAACCAGGCGGGCAGCCUGAUGACCGCACUCUUAGUGCAGCUCAUACUUGUCAGUCUGGCACUCUGCGUGCUCAGAUUCCGUGAACGUCGCCUUCCAGCUGCCAGGGCCCCUUCACCUUUUACCCUCCCCUCCGCCCCUUAGCUCAGAAGGAACAGGGUUUGAAUGGAGUUUUUGGUUCCUUCGCCUCACUGUAGCUCAGAGGAAAUGAUCCAAGGACAAAGGCCCCGUUUGCUUAAUUUCCCUAACCUAGAAGCUGAUCCAAUUCGUGAGUAAAAUAUCUUUCCAGCCACAGAUUAGCACAUGAAAGAAAUAGCUCUGGCCUAGGGAAAUAAAGCGUUCGCAAAGAAGGAAUACCAAGGAACAUGGACAGUGGGCCUUCACCCUGUACCGCCGUACCUAUACGUGUAUUUCACUUACUGAUUACACGCUAUGUGCUUGCACUGUGAUGGAGCCUUGUCGUACAAAGGCAACAACACUGACAUCCACAUAAUUAUUGUAGGAGCCGAGUCAUGGCAUCCAAAGAUAAUUCUAUCCUGAUCCCUAGAGCCUGUGUUACCUUAUAUAGGAUAAAAGCAUCUCGCUGAAUAUACUAAAUUGUUAAAUGGAGGAUCUUGAGAUGACAAGAUUAGGCUGGAUUAUCUAGGAGAGCCCUCCAUGCCAUCAUAAGUGUCCUUCCAAGAGAGGCAGAGGAGAUUUGACACAGACGGGAGGAGGCAGCAAUGUUAGCGGGCAGGCAGGGACGGCAGUGAUGUGGCCACGGUCUCAGGAAUGCAGACAGCCACCAGAAGUUAGAAGAUGCAAAGAACGGCUUUUUCCCUCUGAGCCUCCAGAAGGAGUGUGGUCCUGCUCACGCCUGGCUUUCAGCCCAGUGAUGCUGGUUUUCAGGACUCUAGCCUCCAGAACCAUGACCCAAUACAUUUCUGUGGUUUUAAGCCAUCUAGUUCAUGGUAAUUUGGUGCAGCUGCCAUAGAAAAUUCAUGCAAGUUAUAAUACAAUAAAAGGGGGGUUUUAUUUAAGUAAUGUCUGUACCCCACAUGGGGCUUAAACUCAUGACCCCAAGAUCAAGAGUUGCCUGUUCUUCCAACUGAGUCAGCUGGGCCCCCCUCAAUAAAAGUUUUAAUAGAGUGAGGAACAAAGUACAGUAGAAAGGCUUUACAAAACACCUGACAUUGUAGUUCCUUCUAGAAGGAAGACUAAAGAUUGACCAAAAGAAGGCCCCCAAAAUAGGUUCAAGAACCGGAAGGUGUAAAUUCACUGGGAUGAGAGAGACUUGACCCUCUGGGCAACUAUUUUUCUUUUUUUUCCUAAAACUUUUAUUUUUUUAAGUAAUCUCUACACCCAAUGUCAGGCUCAAACUCCCAACCCUGAGACCAAGA